rnacentral:rRNA from 1 species
AACGCUAGCUACAGGCUUAACACAUGCAAGUCGAGGGGCAGCAUUAUCGAAGCUUGCUUUGAUAGAUGGCGACCGGCGCACGGGUGAGUAACGCGUAUCCAACCUUCCCCAUAGUCAGGAAUAGCCCGGCGAAAGUCGAAUUAAUGCCUGAUGUUUUCCACGGACGGCAUCUGAUGUGGAACAAAGAUUGAUCGCUAUGGGAUGGGGAUGCGUCUGAUUAGCUUGUUGGCGGGGUAACGGCCCACCAAGGCAACGAUCAGUAGGGGUUCUGAGAGGAAGGUCCCCCACAUUGGAACUGAGACACGGUCCAAACUCCUACGGGAGGCAGCAGUGAGGAAUAUUGGUCAAUGGGCGGAAGCCUGAACCAGCCAAGUAGCGUGAGGGAUGACUGCCCUAUGGGUUGUAAACCUCUUUUAUAAGGGAAUAAAAUACGGGACGUGUCCUGUUUUGCAUGUACCUUAUGAAUAAGGACCGGCUAAUUCCGUGCCAGCAGCCGCGGUAAUACGGAAGGUCCGGGCGUUAUCCGGAUUUAUUGGGUUUAAAGGGAGCGCAGGCGGUCUUAUAAGCGUGACGUGAAAUGCAGCGGCUCAACCGUAUGAUGUGCGUCGCGAACUGGUUUCCUUGAGUACGCACAAAGUGGGCGGAAUUCGUGGUGUAGCGGUGAAAUGCUUAGAUAUCACGAAGAACUCCGAUUG